AGAUGUCAGGCCGGAAACGCCACCGGAUGGUCGUAAACGGUGCGGCCUGUGACGACCCCCGGGCGGACCGGGU
rfam:Iguape virus strain SPAn 71686, complete genome